rnacentral:rRNA from 1 species
UACAUAGGUCCCAAGCGUUGUUCGGAUUCACUGGGCGUAAAGGGUGCGUAGGCGGUCGGGUAAGUCUGAUGUGAAAUCUCACAGCUUAACUGUGAAACUGCAUUGGAUACUAUCCGGCUCGAGGAAUGGAGGGGAGACUGGAAUACUUGGUGUAGCAGUGAAAUGCGUAGAUAUCAAGUGGAACACCAGUGGCGAAGGCGAGUCUCUGGACAUUUCCUGACGCUGAGGCAAGAAAGCCAGGGGAGCAAACGGG